rnacentral:lncRNA from 10 species
UUUUGUCCAGAGGUCCUGAGUUGGAUAUGUGAAGUGAGAUGCUCGUGAACACUGCAGAUAAAUUGAUGCACACACAGUCACAGCAGUUGAUUCUGACUUAGGAACAUUUCACUCUCCUUUCCUUUGCUCAUUUUGGUGGUGAAGAUCUCGUCCAGAAGUAAUAUACGUCAAGAAAGAAGAGAUUAUAAAUGUCUAGCAGGGACUGUUAGAAAUAUAUUUGGUGCCCUUGAUGAUUUCUCAAUCAAGACAGGGAACACUGAGGUACAACCACAUAGAGCAUCGGAGCUGCUACGGUAAAGGGGAAGGAGAGAUUCCUACUCUGGUUGAUGACACUGGAUCCUUGCAAGCUGGACAUCUCGGAACAACAGACACAGCUGUUCAACCUCAGAGGAGUACAGGGCCCCCUCUGCUGGGAUCCAGGAACAAGCUAGCAAGGCCUCCAGACAGGGGAUUUCCACUGAUCCUUUGUCACUACUGAGCCCAAAAGUGCACGGGCAGCAAGUUACCAAAUCGCCUUCCACAAGGUCUACAAACCCAUCUGGGACACAUGGCAGGGACCAACACGCUUCUAGACUUCCCAUGUUCCAAGUCCACUUCUGCCGGCAGAAUAGAAACCUCGUCAGUUAUCACAACUCAGUAUCCUUCUAAUUAAAAUAUCUGACCAUGUCCCCAUCAGCCACUUGCCUCAUUUGGGACACCACCAACCAUCCUGCACGGCUGCCCAUGUUUCUGUUUCUCCAGCCCAAGCAUGCAGUUUCAGUAGGUCCUUCAGAGGCUGCCUGAAAGGAGCUCCUGAAUUUCACAGACAAAUCCAGACCCCUGUGUGGAAAGCCUGCGGUGGUGUUCUCCGUCUUCCCACAGGACUCCCUGCAGCCAGGAAUUCUAGGGGAGCACCUGACGCGAGGUAUACGCCCAGAUGGCCUGAAGUAACUGAAGAAUCACAAAAGAAGUGAAAAUGUCCUGCCCCGCCUUAACUGAUGACAUUCCACCACAAAGGAAGUGUCAAUGGCUGGUCCUUGCCUUAACUGAUGACAUUCCACCGCAAAAGAAGUGAAAAUGGCCGGUCCUUGCCUUAACUGAUGACAUUACACCACAAAAGAAGUGAAAAUGGCCGGUCCUUGCCUUAAGUGAUGGCAUUACCUUGUGAAAGUCCUUUUCCUGGCUCAUUCUGGCUCAAAAUCACCCCCACUGAGCACCUUGUGACCCCCACUCCUGCCCGCCAGGGAACAAUCCCCCUUUGACUGUAAUUUUCCUUUACCUACCCAAAUCUUAUAAAAUGGCCCCACCCCUAUCUCCCUUUGCUGACUCUCUUUUUGGACUCAGCCUGCCUGCAUCCAGGUGAUUAAAAGCUUUUAUUGCUCACACA